UACGUAGGUGGCAAGCGUUGUCCGGAUUUACUGGGCGUAAAGAGCGCGCAGGCGGUCGUUCAAGUCGCGUGUGAAAGCCCCCGGCUCAACUGGGGAGGGUCACGCGAUACUGAUCGACUCGAAGGCAGGAGAGGGUAGUGGAAUUCCCGGUGUAGUGGUGAAAUGCGUAGAUAUCGGGAGGAACACCAGUGGCGAAGGCGGCUACCUGGACCAGCACUGACACUGAGGCACGAAAGCGUGGGGAGCAAACAGG
rnacentral:rRNA from 1 species